rnacentral:rRNA from 1 species
UGGGGAAUUUUGGACAAUGGGCGCAAGCCUGAUCCAGCCAUGCCGCGUGCGGGAAGAAGGCCUUCGGGUUGUAAACCGCUUUUGUCAGGGAAGAAAUCUUCUGAGUUAAUACCUCGGGAGGAUGACGGUACCUGAAGAAUAAGCACCGGCUAACUACGUGCCAGCAGCCGCGGUAAUACGUGGGGUGCAAGCGUUAAUCGGAAUUACUGGGCGUAAAGCGUGCGCAGGCGGUUUUGUAAGACAGAGGUGAAAUCCCCGGGCUCAACCUGGGAACUGCCUUUGUGACUGCAAGGCUUGAGUGCGGCAGAGGGGGAUGGAAUUCCGCGUGUAGCAGUGAAAUGCGUAGAUAUGCGGAGGAACACCGAUGGCGAAGGCAAUCCCCUGGGCCUGCACUGACGCUCAUGCACGAAAGCGUGGGGAGCAAACAGGAUUAGAUACCCUGGUAGUCCACGCCCUAAACGAUGUCAACUGGUUGUUGGGAAGGUUCCUUCUCAGUAACGUAGCUAACGCGUGAAGUUGACCGCCUGGGGAGUACGGCCGCAAGGUU